AGGCUGNAACCCGCCUGCAUGAAGUCGGAAUUGCUAGUAAUCGCGGAUCAGCAUGCCGCGGUGAAUACGUUCCCGGGCCUUGUACACACCGCCCGUCACACCAUGGGAGCCGGUAAUACCCGAAGUCAGUAGUCCAACCACGUGAGGACGCUGCCGAAGGUAGGAUUGGCGACUGGGGUGAAGUCGUAACAAGGUACC
rnacentral:rRNA from 1 species